rnacentral:rRNA from 1 species
AGAGUUUGAUCAUGGCUCAGGACGAACGCUGGCGGCGUGCUUAACACAUGCAAGUCGAACGAUGAACCUCCUUCGGGAGGGGAUUAGUGGCGAACGGGUGAGUAACACGUGGGCAAUCUGCCCUGCACUCUGGGACAAGCCCUGGAAACGGGGUCUAAUACCGGAUACGACCACUGAGGGCAUCCUCGGUGGUGGAAAGCUCCGGCGGUGCAGGAUGAGCCCGCGGCCUAUCAGCUUGUUGGUGGGGUGAUGGCCUACCAAGGCGACGACGGGUAGCCGGCCUGAGAGGGCGACCGGCCACACUGGGACUGAGACACGGCCCAGACUCCUACGGGAGGCAGCAGUGGGGAAUAUUGCACAAUGGGCGAAAGCCUGAUGCAGCGACGCCGCGUGAGGGAUGACGGCCUUCGGGUUGUAAACCUCUUUCAGCAGGGAAGAAGCGAAAGUGACGGUACCUGCAGAAGAAGCGCCGGCUAACUACGUGCCAGCAGCCGCGGUAAUACGUAGGGCGCGAGCGUUGUCCGGAAUUAUUGGGCGUAAAGAGCUCGUAGGCGGCUUGUCACGUCGGUUGUGAAAGCCCGGGGCUUAACCCCGGGUCUGCAGUCGAUACGGGCAGGCUAGAGUUCGGUAGGGGAGAUCGGAAUUCCUGGUGUAGCGGUGAAAUGCGCAGAUAUCAGGAGGAACACCGGUGGCGAAGGCGGAUCUCUGGGCCGAUACUGACGCUGAGGAGCGAAAGCGUGGGGAGCGAACAGGAUUAGAUACCCUGGUAGUCCACGCC